rnacentral:sRNA from 1 species
CUCGAGCGACGCGAGAGAACGUUGCGUCAGCAACGGCCCGCAGGGCGAGCCACGCAGUGGCGAGUCAUCCUCUAUCACCGACCA